UACAGAGGUCUCAACCGUUGUUCGGAUUCAUUGGGCGUAAAGGGUGCGUAGGCGGUCGUGCAAGUCGGAUGUGAAAUCUCAGGGCUCAACCCUGAAACUGCAUUCGAUACUGCGCGGCUAGAGUGCUGGAGGGGAGACUGGAAUUUACAGUGUAGCAGUGAAAUGCGUAGAUAUCGUAAGGAAGACCAGUGGCGAAGGCGGGUCUCUGGACAGUUCCUGACGCUGAGGCACGAAGGUCAGGGGAGCAAACGGG
rnacentral:rRNA from 1 species